UAUGUGAUCGUCUCUCGCAUAUCAAUAAGCGGAGGAAAAGAAACUAACAAGGAUUCCCCUAGUAACGGCGAGUGAAGCGGGAAGAGCUCAAAUUUGAAAUCUUAAAGGGUUUCCCUUUACGAAUUGUAGUUUAAAGAAAGUGUUUUCUGUUGAGGUUUUGGUAAAAGUUCUUUGGAAUAGGACAUCAUAGAGGGUGAGAAUCCCGUAUUUGACCUUUACUUUCAACUUUGUGAUACACUUUCAAAGAGUCGGAUUGUUUGGGAAUGCAGUCCAAAAUGGGUGGUAAAUUUCAUCUAAAGCUAAAUAUUGGCGAGAGACCGAUAGCGAACAAGUACCGUGAGGGAAAGAUGAAAAGAACUUUGAAAAGAGAGUUAAACAGUACGUGAAAUUGUCAAAAGGGAAGCGUUUGACACCAGUGUUGUUUUUCUGAAAAUCAAUUAAAGAACUGUUUAUGCUAAGCUGUUUAGACUUUAUCAGCUAACUGUUUAGUUUUGAGCUUUUCUUUAAUGCACUUUUCAGUUAACAAGUCAACAUCAAGUUUCUUUUGCUGUAAAAAAGCUUAAGGAAGGUGGCUUGAGAUUCGUCUUAAGUGUUUAUAGCCUCUUGCCUAUGCAGUCGGAGAGAUUGAGGUCUGCAGCGUAGAUCCUUCGGGGCUAAAUGCAUUUGUGCUAAGUUAUAGCAUUUUAUAGACAACUUGUUGACUAUGAUUUGUCUUGUAGCUUACUCGCUUAUGUUAUUUUACCUACGCUUAGGAUGUUGACACACGCGCGUGCUCG
rnacentral:rRNA from 1 species